UACUUAGUGGCGGACGGGUGAGUAACGCGUGGGUAACCUGCCUCACACAGGGGGAUAACAGUUGGAAACGGCUGCUAAUACCGCAUAAGCGCACAGUACCGCAUGGUACGGUGUGAAAAACUCCGGUGGUAUGAGAUGGACCCGCGUCUGAUUAGGUAGUUGGUGGGGUAACGGCCUACCAAGCCGACGAUCAGUAGCCGACCUGAGAGGGUGACCGGCCACAUUGGGACUGAGACACGGCCCAA
rnacentral:rRNA from 1 species